rnacentral:sRNA from 1 species
CGGGUUGCCGAGUUGGCCCCGAUUGAAGUCCAACUCUUUCGUUUAUAAAGGUAAUAUCAUG